CUCAUGGAGAGUUUGAUCCUGGCUCAGGAUAAACAUUGGCGGCGUGCUUAACACAUGCAAGUCAGACGGGAAAUCGUGUUUGCAGUGGCAGACGGGUGAGUAACGUGUAAGAACCUGCCCUUGGGAGGGGAACAACAAUUGGAAACGGCUGCUAAUACCCUGUAGGCUGAGGAGCAAAAGGAGGAAUCCGCCCGAGGAGGGGCUCGCGUCUGA
rnacentral:ncRNA from 1 species